rnacentral:lncRNA from 12 species
CUGUACUAUCCUCACAAUUUUUUUUUUUUUGUAAAUCUAACACUUCUGAAAUUAAGUUUAUUUUACAGGUGGCACUUGAAAUAGUGCAAUGCAUAGAACAGGGAGCUAACACAUUAGCUCCCUACCUAGGUGGAAACAAAAGGAUUGCUUCUGGAAAUAUCUCAAGCUUAGUAGAAUCUUUCAGUGCAAUUCAGUACCCGCACCCCCUCUGCCACCCACCUUCCCAAUCACUGUUGAGUGAGGCAGGUAGAUAGAGCUCAUUGUUUCUGGCAGAGGGAAACCCUGAGGUGUGUAAUUAGCUCUCUAUCAGAUAGGGCCUGAGGAUUUAUAUGUUUUGUCAUGUUUAGGUUUCAGCUUGGAGCUCAGUCAGGUUAUUUUAAGAUCCUUGGCCUUUACAGGAAAAGAGAAGCAUGGAAAACACAUCAAUUUUUAUAAAACCACAUGUCUAACAAAAAUGAUUUACAUGGAAGUGAGCAACUGGACAAGCCUUGGAAGUCAGCAGUCCUGUUCAGAAAACUGUCUAUGCCCUGCGGACAAUGACUUGGAUGAGAAACAUGAACAGACUUCUCCGAAGAUACAUAAUACUAAAGAGCAAGUCAGUGGCAUGUUGCAAUCCAAUCUGAACACAGAUGAAUUUUGAGGUUUCAUGUUACGAUAAACAAAUGUUUCCUACUCUAUCGAUGCUGUAAAUUUGCAAACUAUGACUAUAUUGAAUUUACUGACAAGGAGUGACACCUGCAGCUAAUUUUGAUAUCAUCGACAACAAUAGGAAAAGACAUAGUGAAGGACAUCAGAGAAGAAAGACAGAAUGUUAAAGAUGGGGGAAACACAGCACCAAAGUGUUGACAUGGCUCUUUGAGAUCCUUUAGCGCAUCUAGGUUAUCCUGUGACCAGCUCAUGGAAGAACUGAGUAAGGUACUUUGUGGUGAAAUGUAACAUGGAAGUCAGACUCUUUCUCCAUGGAACUCUUCAGAAAAACCACCUCCUGUGACCGCUCUAUGAGAAUAAUUCAUAAAGGCAGCCCAUAUCCUCUGAUCUAGCUUUGCAAAAAUAAUUUCAAACAGUAUUUACAGGAAAACAUAAAAUCUACAUG